UACGUAGGGCGCAAGCGUUAUCCGGAAUUAUUGGGCGUAAAGAGCUCGUAGGCGGUUUGUCGCGUCUGCCGUGAAAGUCCGGGGCUCAACUCCGGAUCUGCGGUGGGUACGGGCAGACUAGAGUGAUGUAGGGGAGACUGGAAUUUCUGGUGUAGCGGUGAAAUGCGCAGAUAUCAGGAGGAACACCGAUGGCGAAGGCAGGUCUCUGGGCAUUAACUGACGCUGAGGAGCGAAAGCAUGGGGAGCGAACAGG
rnacentral:rRNA from 1 species